ACCGCAGCCACCAAGAACAGUAAGGAUCAGCUGACGCCAUAAACACACCGUCAGCCUUCACCCAGGGGAGACCCGCCACCAUAUCUUCGUGUAAACUGUACGUGUUACCAAGAACAAGAAGAGCUUUGACAAGCCGCUGGCUACCCGUUCCAGUCGUGGUCACUAGAUGCUGGGCCUCGGGUUUGGGAUAUUGGCCGAGAUGUGCGACUAAUAGAAGAGUCCAUUUAAUAUCACCUUUUCCUGGUCCCUAUGGACCAGCAAUUGGAGUAUUAUGUGCAUAUGAAGUGACCAUGCAGAGGGACUUAACAGAAAUUUAGUUGGCCAUGAAGUAGUUGUAAAUUAUUCUGCUAGUAUUCAAAAGAAACAUGGGUUGUUAGAUCAGACACUUCUGAAGAAGAGCAUCAGGAACUACACUUACGGGCUAUUCAUGCCUGUGCCAUCUCUUGGGUGGCUUAAUCUUCAUCAAUCAAUCCAGAACUACAGUGAAUUUCCACGAGUGAGACAUUAUACACUCCUACCUGGGAAGUCUCUGAGCCCAGAUUGGCAGUAACGCAAAGCCUGAGGACAUAUGGGUUGGGGUUGAAUCUGGAAAUGUUGCCUGGAAGACAUUCUAGCAAGUUCAAGCCUUUUCAGGUUAGUUAAUUUCCAUUGGUUAUAUGGUAUGUGGUUUGAAGAUUAGAUAUGUUUUGAUAACUGAUAUUUAGUAAAAUCUUUAUAAUGAUUUCUAAACAGUUUUUGGUAUAUUUAAUUUCCAUUAACGUUUAGUUACAAAACAAGAGGCAAUAGUGUGAAAUGAAUUCUGGUUGACACCUAGUAUUUGUGGGUUAAGGCAGAACUAAAUUCAUUGGGUGGUUGUAGAACCAUCUACUGAAAUCAGUAGUUCUUCAGCUUAUAAUAAUGGGUUAAGGCAGGUGUCUAACCAGAAUGCUAGUCACACCAUUGCACCUCUAGUCUUCAGAUCACAUAUGAUUAAAUAUUACUGGUUCCUAAACCAGUAGUGUAAUACUUUGAUCAGGAAGUAAAUAAACUUAGGGAUACACCGAGACAUUUUAUUAU